rnacentral:rRNA from 1 species
CUAUGCGCCUUGCCAGCCCGCUCAGUCAGAGUUUGAUCCUGGCUCAGAUUGAACGCUGGCGGCAAGCCUAACACAUGCAAGUCGAGCGGCAGCGAAAGAAAGCUUGCUUUCUUGUCGGCGAGCGGACAAACGGGUGAGUAAUAUCUGGGAAUCUAACCCAAAAGGAGGGGGAUAACUCUAGAAAUGGUAGCUAAUACCGCAUAAGUUGAAAAACCAAAGUGGGGGACCUUAAAAGGCCUCAUGCUUUGGAUGAGCCCAGAAGAGAUUAGCUUGUUAGUAAGGUAAAAGCUUACCAAGGCCACGAUCUCUAGCUGGUCUGAGAGGAUAACCAGCCACACUGGAACUGAGACACGGUCCAG